rnacentral:misc_RNA from 1 species
GAUGAAGAACGUAGCGAAAUGCGAUAAGUAAUGUGAAUUGCAGAAUUCAGUGAAUCAUCGAAUCUUUGAACGCACAUUGCGCCCCUUGGUAUUCCGAGGGGCAUGCCUGUUCGAGCGUCAUUUCAACCCUCAAGCCCCCGGGCUUGGUGUUGGGGAUCGGCGAGCCUCCGCGCCCGCCGUCCCCUAAAUCUAGUGGCGGUCUCGCUGUAGCUUCCUCUGCGUAGUAGCACACCUCGCACUGGGAAACAGCGCGGCCACGCCGUUAAACCCCCAACUUCUGAACGUUUGACCUCGGAUCAGGUAGGAAUACCCGCUGAACUUAAGCAUAUAAUAAGCGGAGGA